rnacentral:rRNA from 1 species
UAGUGGCGAACGGGUGAGUAACACGUGGGCAAUCUGCCCUGCACUCUGGGACAAGCCCUGGAAACGGGGUCUAAUACCGGAUACGAGUCUCCAAGGCAUCUUGGGGACUGUAAAGCUCCGGCGGUGCAGGAUGAGCCCGCGGCCUAUCAGCUUGUUGGUGAGGUAGUGGCUCACCAAGGCGACGACGGGUAGCCGGCCUGAGAGGGCGACCGGCCACACUGGGACUGAGACACGGCCCAGACUCCUACGGGAGGCAGCAGUGGGGAAUAUUGCACAAUGGGCGAAAGCCUGAUGCAGCGACGCCGCGUGAGGGAUGACGGCCUUCGGGUUGUAAACCUCUUUCAGCAGGGAAGAAGCGAAAGUGACGGUACCUGCAGAAGAAGCGCCGGCUAACUACGUGCCAGCAGCCGCGGUAAUACGUAGGGCGCAAGCGUUGUCCGGAAUUAUUGGGCGUAAAGAGCUCGUAGGCGGCUUGUCACGUCGGUUGUGAAAGCCCGGGGCUUAACCCCGGGUCUGCAGUCGAUACGGGCAGGCUAGAGUUCGGUAGGGGAGAUC